GAAAAGAAACCAACAGGGAUUGCCCCAGUAACGGCGAGUGAAGCGGCAACAGCUCAAAUUUGAAAUCUGGCCCCCCGGGGCCCGAGUUGUAAUUUGCAGAGGAUGCUUUCGGCGAGGCCCCUUCCGAGUCCCCUGGAACGGGGCGCCAGAGAGGGUGAGAGCCCCGUACGGUUGGACGCCGAGCCGGUGUAAAGCUCCUUCGACGAGUCGAGUAGUUUGGGAAUGCUGCUCUAAAUGGGAGGUAAAUUUCUUCUAAAGCUAAAUAUAGGCCAGAGACCGAUAGCGCACAAGUAGAGUGAUCGAAAGAUGAAAAGCACCUUGGAAAGAGGGUUAAACAGUACGUGAAAUUGUUGAAAGGGAAGCGCUUGUGACCAGACUCGCGCCCGGCGGAUCAUCCGGCGUUCUCGCCGGUGCGCUCCGCCGGGCUCGGGCCAGCAUCGGUUUCCUCCGGGGGAUAAAGGCGCCGGGAACGUGGCUCCCCUCGGGGAGUGUUACAGCCCGGCGCGCAAUGCCCCGGCGGGGACCGAGGACCGCGCUUCGGCAAGGAUGCUGGCGUAAUGGUCAUCAGCGACCCGUCUUGAAACACGGACCAAGGAGUCAAGCAUUGGGGCGAGUGUUUGGGUGUCAAACCCGCACGCGAAAUGAAAGUGAACGCAGGUGAGAGCUUCGGCGCAUCAUCGACCGAUCCUGAUGUAUUCGGAUGGAUUUGAGUAGGAGCCUCAACGCUUGGACCCGAAAGAUGGUGAACUAUGCCUGUAUAGGGUGAAGCCAGAGGAAACUCUGGUGGAGGCUCGCAGCGGUUCUGACGUGCAAAUCGAUCGUCAAAUAUGGGCAUAGGGGCGAAAGACUAAUCGAACCAUCUAGUAGCUG
rnacentral:rRNA from 1 species